rnacentral:rRNA from 1 species
GACGAACGCUGGCGGCGUGCCUAAUACAUGCAAGUAGAACGCUGAAGCGAGGAGCUUGCUCUUCUUGGAUGAGUUGCGAACGGGUGAGUAACGCGUAGGUAACCUGCCUUGUAGCGGGGGAUAACUAUUGGAAACGAUAGCUAAUACCGCAUAACAAUGGAUGACACAUGUCAUUUAUUUGAAAGGGGCAAUUGCUCCACUACAAGAUGGACCUGCGUUGUAUUAGCUAGUAGGUGAGGUAAUGGCUCACCUAGGCGACGAUACAUAGCCGACCUGAGAGGGUGGUCGGCCCCACUGGGACUUGGACCCGGCCCCGACUCCUACGGGAGGCAGCAGUAGGGAAUCUUCGGCAAUGGGGGCAACCCUGACCGAGCAACGCCGCGUGAGUGAAGAAGGGUUUCGGAUCGUAAAGCUCUGUUGUAAGUCAAGAACGGGUGUGAGAGUGGAAAGUUCACACUGUGACGGUAGCUUACCAGAAAGGGACGGCUAACUACGUG